AGAUGACAUGCCUCAUUUUUAGCUCGGCCCAACCUUACUAUAUUUGCUACUUGCUCGGUCUCAAGCUCAACCCUCUUUUUUGCCGUUUCUUUUUUGGGUGUCUCAUCUAAUUUUUAAUAUUUUAAAAUUCAUCAAAAAUAAUCAAUCAGUCUCAAAAACAACUUGUUAUGGACGUUUUAAAUAGUAUACUACUUUUCUAUCCGUGUAUGAAUAUCUAACCAUCAGAAUUAUAACAUUUUUUUAUUACGUCCAACGCUUUUUAACUACAGGACGGAUGCUUUCAGGUAUUAUUUCUGAAUCUCAAAGUGCAUUUGUUCCGGACCAUCUUAUUACGGAUAAUGCAAUUGCAGCAUUUGAGAUUAAUCAUUGGUUGCAUAGGAAAACGAAAGGUAAAACAGGUUAUGCAGCUCUUAAGAUUGACAUGAGUAAAGCUUAUGAUAGGGUGGAAUGGGAUUUUGUGAUGGGGGUGUUUCGAAGAAUGGGGUUUGACGAAAAGUGGUGUAAAUGGAUUCAAUUAUGUAUGUUGACAGUUGCUUACAAAUUGGUGGUUUCAGGUAAUGAGAUUGGCCCUUUUGUUCCUAGUCGAGGGUUACGACAAGAUGACCAUAUAUCGUCACAUCUUUUUUUGCUGUGUGCGGAAGGUCUGUCAGCUUUAAUUCGUAGACAACAAGUCAUGGAAACCAUUCAUGGCUGUAAAAUUGCUAAUGGAGCUCCGGUGGUCAUUCAUUUUUUUUUUGUAGAUGAUUGUUAUUUGUUCUUUCGAGCCAAUGAUAUGGAAGCAAAUUGUAUUAAAGAGUGUCUCAUUAUUUAUGAAAGAGCUUCGGGUCAGCAAGUGAAUUUUUAGAAAUCUUCGAUCUCUUUUAGUCAUAACAUGUUGGACUCUAAUAAAACUGUUGUGAGUCACGCACUGCAAGUUCCUGUUCGAGCUGAUGCUAUGUAUCUUGGUCUUCCCAAAACUGUUUCGAGUAAUAGAUGGGGGACAUUUAGGUAUGUUAAGGAAAAAAUUUGGAACAGGCUGCAGAGUUGGAAGGGGCUUACUGUGUCCAGGACUGGGAAGGAAAUUCUGAUCAAAUCAGUGAUCCAAUCCAUUCCUUCAUAUGUGGCAGGUUUUCUAAAGGCUCGUUAUUUUCCUAAUAGUAAUUUUGAAGAGGUCGGGUUGGGGAAUAAUCCGAGUUAUGUUUGGCGUAGUAUCUUGGCGUCUUAGCACCUGCUUUGUAAUGGGAGUGCUCGAAGAAUUGGAAGUGGAGAGACAGUUAGUAUCUGGAAGGACGCGUGGUUGCCAACUGUAGGUCACUCGAAGAUUAUUACACCUGUUUAGAAUGAUUUAGAAGAUACUAAAGUUUGUAGUUUUAUGGUUUAGAAGAUACUAAAGUUUGUAGUUUUAUGGUUAAUGACAUGAUGGAAUGGGAUUUGGAGAUUUUGAGGGACUUAUUUAUUGAGGAUGAUGUUCAACAAAUUUUAAAAAUUCCUUUGAGCAGUAGCAGGACAGAAGAUUCGUGGUUGUGGAUAGAAGGGGAGAAAGGGGUGUAUUCGGUCAAGAGUACAUACUGUAGUUUGUUUCAAGACUAUAGUCGUGUGCUUAGUUUUGGGGGGGGGGGUUUAACUGGCUUAAACUCUGGUCAUUAUCAAUGCCUCUGAAAGUUAAGAACUUGAUUUUGGAGAGCUUUACAGAAGUGUCUUCCUACUUUGGACAAUUUUAGAUGUAAAUUUGUGGAGGUCUAUCCUUUAUGUCCUGUAUGCCAAGAAGAGGUGAAACACUGAGCAUAUCAUAUUUGUGUGUUCGUUUGCUCAGAGUAGUUGGAAGCUUGCUAAGGUGGAUUGUUUUUCAAAUUUGAACUCAUCUUUUGAUGACACAAUGAUGGAGGUAUUUCAACCUAAAUCUUCUAAGGAGCUAGAAAUUAUUUGUUCUAUAGCUUGGCAGUUAUGGGCUCAUAGAAAUAGUGUGGUGUGGAAAAAGAGGUUCCAACCUCCAUCGGUAGUGGUUAACAAGGCUGGGUCAUUUAUUUUUCAAUGGAAGAUUGUCGUUCUCUUAUUAAAGACUUACGGUCCUAUUCAGUUUA